rnacentral:rRNA from 1 species
AUCUACAGCCAUACCAUCCUGAACACACCUGAGCUCGUGUGAUCUUGGAAGCUAAGCAAGCAGGGUCGGGCCUGGUUAGUACUUGGGUGGGGGAAAAGGGAAACUGAGCAUUUUGGUUU